UCAGGGCCUAAAGCCCUCCCUUCAGGCCCAAACCCCUCCCGUCAGGCCCAAACCCCUCUCUUCAGGCCCCAAACCCCUCUCUUUAGGGCUCAAACCCCACUUUUUCCGGCCCAAACCCUUCUGCUUUUUAAGCCCCACACCCUCUCUUUAAGGCCCAAACCCUUCUUCUCCUUAGGCCCCAAACCCCUCUCUUUAGGCCCCAAACCCUUCUUUUUCAGGCCCAAAACCCUCUCUUCAGGCCCCAAACCCCUCUCCUUAGCCCCCAAACCCCUCAAAUUUAGGCCCCAAGCCCGUCUCUUCAGGGCCUAAGCCCUGGUCUGUCGGCUCCAAGGGUGGAUUGUUCAGAGGACGAGCGCAGGGAUGAGCCUGAACGCGACCUCUGCCAAGGAGAGGAAACCCUCCUGCAUGAAGCCGACCCGGGUAGAGCUGUGGGACGGCAUGCAGCGCAGGUGCCUGAUGCCCAACAUCACCGCCAAAGAGCAAACAGAUGUCUGGAAUGUGGUGGCCACUCGCAGGGCAUCCGAAUCCCCACUCUGGGCUCCUUUGACAUAAUCCAAAACCAGAUCCAAGCUGGGGACAAGGCGAUGACUUUGCAGUGGCCAGUGUUUCACCUGGCCACGAACCUCAUAAACAUGCACCACCUUGAGGACAGCAACGGCAGCCUGCCAGCCCACAAGAAGCUGGAGCCCCUGAGACGGGAGCACCCGCCUGGCACCGCAGCCGCAGCACGGCCUCAGCAAUUCCUGUCCCCGCCGGCGCCUCGCCGCAGCCCAGGCAGCCCAGAGCUCCUUCAGCCCAUCCAGGAGGCCUAAACACCGUGCUAGGCCUGAGAGCCAGGCCCGACGCCAGCGGCCACCAGCAGUGCCUGGAAGACCUGCCCGCCUGCCACCAGCCCGGCCUCCGCGGCCCCCACGGCCCCCAUGCCUGGCACAAUAACAUGGGAAGGCACGGGACGGGCCACCAGCAGUGCCUGGAAGACCUGCCCGCCUGCCACCAGCCCGGCCUCCGCGGCCCCCACGGCCCCCAUGCCUGGCACAAUAACAUGGGAAGGCACGGGACGGGCCACCAGCAGUGCCUGGAAGACCUGCCCGCCUGCCACCAGCCCGGCCUCCGCGGCCCCCACGGCCCCCAUGCCUGGCACAAUAACAGCAAACCCCUCUCUUUAGGGCCCAAAACCCUCUCUUUAGGGCCCAAACCCUGCUCUUUGAGGCCCAAACCCCUCUCUUUGGGGCCCAAACCCCUCUCUUUAGGCCCAAACCCCUCUCUUUAGGCCCAAACCCCUCCCUUCAGGCCCAAAACCUCACUUUAGGCCCCAAACCCCUCUCUUUAGGCUCAAAACCCUUCUUUUUCAGGCCCAAAACCCUCUCUUCAGGUCCCAAACCCCUCUCUUUAGGCCCAAACCCCUCUCUUUGGGG